rnacentral:rRNA from 1 species
CCCUUAGAUGUUCUGGGCUGCACGCGUGCUACAAUGGCGCUUGCAACAAGAUUGCCAACCCGAAAGGGUGAGCGGAUCUUUGAAGUGGCGUCGUGGUCGGGACAGUUGAUUGCAAUUAUUCGACUCGAACGAGGAAUUCCUUGUAAUCGCGAUUCAUCAUAUCGCGCUGAAUACGUCCCUGCCCUUUGUACACACCGCCCGUCGCUCCUACCGAUUGAGCGAUCCGGUGAAUGUUUUGGACUGGUGUCCGCAAGCGUUUCGCUUCGGACGCUACGAAAUUUUGUAAACCUUAUCGCUUAGAGGAAGGAAAAGUCGUAACA